AUCUAUAGAAGAUUCAAACUCUAUCACCAGUGGGCCAGAUCUUCAGCAGCAUUUCAGUGGUAGCUCCUUCACUCGCUAUCAGUCUUCGGCGGCAUUUCAGUGAUGGGUCCUUCAGUGCCACAGAAGACCAGGAGCAAGUGAACAGCCCGCCACCAAAGUGCCACCAAACACCCAGACCACCGCCGGCUAUUCAAAUUGAGCCCCACACUUCCUAAAGCUGGCCCUGCUUGCCACCCACAGCACUGCACCAUCAGCAGGGCAAGCUGAGGCUGCACAGCAGUAGGGACAACAGGGGAUGGCCAGAGGCUAGUUUCCCAAGCCAGGAGCUCAGGGGCUGGGCAGGAGGGAUCCACGGGCCAGAUGUGGCCAGCGGGCCAUAGUUUGUCCAUCUCUGUCUUAAGGCAAUGCCACCACCCUCAGCAGCAUCACAGACAUAAGGGUCGCAUAGCAUAUUGCCACCCUUGCACCUCCACUGCUGCUGCAGCUUGUGCUGCCUGGCACUCAUCAUAUAGCUCAAGGCCAACUUCAUGCUGUCAAACAGGGGGCUGGAACUUGCCAUAGCCCUCUGGCCGCUCAUGGCUCACCAGAGGCAACAUUUCAUAUUGAGGCGGUGAGGCAAUUUUAAUGGUGAUUCCAGGGGCUAGUUGAGCACCUGAAAACUCCAGGUUUCUUCCACAUAAUAACUUAAAUAAAUAAUGUGGCUUUAAUUGGACUUUGUAUCUGUUUCAAUUAAAGAAUAAGGAUUUAGCUGGCAGGAGUAUUGUAUCUAUGUAAGUUUACUCCAAUCAGGAGAUAAUACAGCAAGACACUCCCACUUCCAAGCAUCAGGGUGUCAGUUCUGGAGCUUUAACAAUGAUAUCAGAAACACAAGUUUCAUAUUUUGUACACUAGCUUUAAUACAGAUAUAUACAAAUUGAAAAAAUAAACAAACUCUGCUUAAAAUCCGCUUAACACACACUCUGCAUUUACUGCCAUUAUCUAGUCAAAAUUAAAUAAAUACUCUUUAAUAUUUUUUUUAGUGAA